AAAUGAAAUUGAAAAGCUGCCACCUUUACAGCUAGAACUAUUUCCCUUGCCAAGAGACGUUCUGCUUAAAUUCCCAACCAUUGAUAUCAUAUUGAAGGUGGUGAUGGAAAACGAAAAUCAAGGUCUUCAAUUACUAAACUGUGAGAUGGGUGAAAUUGAUAAAUGUAAAUGUGAACAGCAUGUUGGACACUGGCGGUGUAUGUUAAUGCCUUCAGUAUCUGUCAGACACCGAAAACUCAUAUCUGAAUCACAAAGGAACUAUGAAAAGCGGUUAACCUUAAAACGGCGUCGAGAACCAUUUUCUGGCCACUUGCCUCCCUCUUCAAUAAUGGUAGGUUAUCUUUGUUUUUUGUCCUAUAAUACUCUGCUGUUACAUAAUUCUGAGUUUUUCUCUUAAUAUUACAUUUUUUGAUUUCUUUGCUAAUGUAGAUGUUUCAUAACCCUUUGGACUAAUGAUUUGUAUUUUUCUUUACAAAGACAUGUUACAUAAAGAUGCCUUUUGUCACUUUAAUGGAUGUUAUCACCCAUCCAAAGGAAAUGGUAAGUUUAAGUGUGCGGUUAGGGUUAUUGCAAUACGUCCAUUCCAGUCUGAAGAUUUUUGCUCUCCACAAGUAAUAUACAGGAUA